AGUGAACGCUGGCGGCAGGCCUAACACAUGCAAGUCGAACGGCAGCACAGAGGAGCUUGCUCCUUGGGUGGCGAGUGGCGGACGGGUGAGGAAUGCGUCGGAAUCUGCCUAUUUGUGGGGGAUAACGUAGGGAAACUUACGCUAAUACCGCAUACGACCUACGGGUGAAAGUGGGGGACCGCAAGGCCUCACGCAGAUAGAUGAGCCGACGCCGGAUUAGCUAGUUGGCGGGGUAAAGGCCCACCAAGGCGACGAUCCGUAGCUGGUCUGAGAGGAUGAUCAGCCACACUGGGACUGAGACACGGCCCAGAGUCCUACGGGAGGCAGCAGUGGGGAAUAUUGGACAAUGGGCGCAAGCCUGAUCCAGCCAUGCCGCGUGUGUGAAGAAGGCCUUCGGGUUGUAAAGCACUUUUGUCCGGAAAGAAAUCCUUUCGAUUAAUACUCGGAAGGGAUGACGGUACCGGAAGAAUAAGCACCGGCUAACUUCGUGCCAGCCGCCGCCGUAACAC
rnacentral:rRNA from 1 species